AAUUGUAUCACUGACUUGUGCGCGUGCGGCAGAAGACAAUGGCACGUUUGCAGACAACGGGGGUGACUGUCCAUCUGUCCCCUCUACCCCUCCAUCUCUCUCUCUCUUUGGUGGGGAAGGGAGGAAGGGGGAGAGAUAGAGAGAGAGAGAGAGAGACGAUUCAGGGGAUUAGACGGCCGGACCCAGGUGCUCCCGUCUCGACCACGGGUAUUCUUGGGUUGAUAAUACGGAUCUCGAUGUUAUUGCUUGAGAAUACGCGUAGCUGAGUGGAAGCGAUUGUCGACCAAGAGCCUCAUGUCUCCUCACGGUCCACAGUAACCCCCCCACCCGAGGAUUCGGGAAAAGGGGCACGUAGGGGCGGGGCCCUUCUUUUUGUCCUGAAUUGGUCUUCCCCGAAGUGGACGGGUAAAAUUCCAGGUGCUGUCAGGGUAAGAAUUUCAAUGUGAUCUUCUCAGCGCCAUUACUCGUUUAUGUCCUGUCCCGUUGCAGGUGGUGGAUAACGAAAAGCAGAAGGUACAAAAGCCAGAACUGCACAAUCCCGCUUUUCGCCGUGCUUGACCGAGCACUCUGCCACCGCCUUGUUUGUUUCGGAACCGCAGCACUCGAAGCCUACCUCUCCAUCGUGUAGGUGUCGGUUUUUGUGGGAAGGAAGGAUGAAUGCUGAAAAGACAGCCACGACGCGGCAGCCCGUCCCCCCCCCCCCCGCCAUGGCUCUUCAGACGCCUCCGCACUCCCCCGCGGGCGCGUGCGCACACACACACACACACACACACACACACACACACAAGCGCGCGCACCUCCUGGCCCCCUCGCGGAUUCCAGCGCUUUCUCAGCUGCGGUGCAGGAGGGCAGCCUGGCUUCCGAGACGCAGGACUGGGGACGCAAGGUCGGAGCCCAACAGCCCCGGCUUUAGCCCCUCCGCAGAGCCGUUAAAAACCAAACAAGUGAAUUCUCACCUUUUUCCACCCCUUCCGACACAGUACCUACAGUUUGUACCAGUGUACCCCGAUUGCACUCCGAUUGUUUCGGCGAAGAAGAAUUCAAGAGGAAUUAGUUGCCAACAGAAGCAGCAAGCUUCACCUGUCUUCCUCGCCUGACUUGGCAUCGCUUCCGUACUCCCCAGCAGACCACAGCCAAGGACAGAUGGACCUGAUCCGACCCUCUAACUCCCCCAGACGGCACCCGCAAGUCCAGCUGACCCGAAGGCGACCCGCCUCCCGAGAGGCAGGGAUGCCGGUGAGCGGGCGCCCAGGUGCACAGAAGGCACUCUGCUCCCGUGAGCAAGAAACGGGGCCUCGGAAGGUUUGUCGGGCACAAACACCCUCCGAGUCACAGAGCCUACCGUAGCUGGCCUUCACCGUUUGGAUCAACUGCUUGAUCACACCCAGUGUGAGGGCGCUUGUAUUUAGCAGAGUGGGAAGAGCUGAAUUUGGCCCAGAUUAAUGGAAACGGUCUUAGAGUUAUUACAAUUCGGACUGCGAUCUGGUAACCCUCGUAUGGAUAUUGUUUUUAGAUAUUGUUGCCUCUCAUCACACUUUUGCCGUGCCCUUUGCGCUGUGUAGCAUGACCGCGCUUGAUUUAAUGAUACGCUUACAAAACACCUACCCAGGUUGCAGUGGUUAAAAACACUAAACUUUAUAUGUGCCUUUCAGAUGCCUUCAAGAAUUUCUUUUUAGCCUCAAAAGCGGUCUGAAUAUCACAGUUACUCUCGCGAGGCGCUGGGGGAUGUAGCCACAGCUUCGGAAACCUCAAGGAGUGAUGUUUAGGUAAUGAAAAGGUAUACAACCGCAUAAGUCACCCCUUGAUAACACGGUUAUGGAGGCGAGUUGGAAAACUGCAAAUGAAGGCAGAUUAGAACAUUUGAUUUGACCGGAUGAGGGACUGAAAACAGAGCAAUUCAGCACAGAGCAUUAGGUCACGUUUUGUACCCUCACAAACAUGCUUGAGUAUCGAGGAUACGCUAUGAAGCCGAUAAAAAACACUUGAGUGUGUUGCUGUUGGAAGCAAACACAAGCCCAGUGUGUGAAGCUAAUUAAAUAUAACACUGGGCAAUGGUGCCACCUUGUGUCCUUUUUUAAUGGGGACUAAAUACACUGGGUGCCGCUCUUGUGAAUUGAACAGCUGGGCACAAAAGUCUGUUCGUGACUUGGUUUCUUCACAAAUCCAAAGUUAUUUUUACUGCUGUCACAAUUAAUAAAAGCUUAAGAAUGCAGACA
rnacentral:lncRNA from 1 species